rnacentral:rRNA from 1 species
UACCCUAUUAUUGUUUUAUUUAGAUUAUUAUUAGUUAAGUUCUUUAAAAAUCAAAGAUUUUGGCGGUUAAUUAAUUCUUUUUAGAGGAACAUGUAUUUUAAUUGAUAAUCCACGAUAUAUUUUACCAAAAAUUUUAUUUGUAUAUCUCUAUUGUAAGAUAAUUAUUUAAAUAAUUAUCAUUUUCUUUUUAAGAAAAAUUUUAGGUCAAGGUGCAGUUUUUUUUUGGUUAAUAUGUGUUACUUUUAUUAUAAAAAUUUUAAAUUCUUAAAGAUUAUUUAUUUAGGAUUUAAUAGUAAAUUUAAUUAAUUAAUUAAAUUGAAUGUAGUUCUGGUUAAUGUACACAUC